rnacentral:rRNA from 1 species
GGUUAAGCGACUAAGCGUACACGGUGGAUGCCCUGGCAGUCAGAGGCGAUGAAGGACGUGCUAAUCUGCGAUAAGCGUCGGUAAGGUGAUAUGAACCGUUAUAACCGGCGAUUUCCGAAUGGGGAAACCCAGUGUGAUUCGUCACACUAUCAUUAACUGAAUCCAUAGGUUAAUGAGGCGAACCGGGGGAACUGAAACAUCUAAGUACCCCGAGGAAAAGAAAUCAACCGAGAUUCCCCCAGUAGCGGCGAGCGAACGGGGAGCAGCCCAGAGCCUGAAUCAGUGUGUGUGUUAGUGGAAGCGUCUGGAAAGGCGUGCGAUACAGGGUGACAGCCCCGUACACAAAAAUGCACAUACUGUGAGCUCGAUGAGUAGGGCGGGACACGUGGUAUCCUGUCUGAAUAUGGGGGGACCAUCCUCCAAGGCUAAAUACUCCUGACUGACCGAUAGUGAACCAGUACCGUGAGGGAAAGGCGAAAAGAACCCCGGCGAGGGGAGUGAAAAAGAACCUGAAACCGUGUACGUACAAGCAGUGGGAGCACGCUUAGGCGUGUGACUGCGUACCUUUUGUAUAAUGGGUCAGCGACUUAUAUUCUGUAGCAAGGUUAACCGAAUAGGGGAGCCGAAGGGAAACCGAGUCUUAACUGGGCGUUAAGUUGCAGGGUAUAGACCCGAAACCCGGUGAUCUAGCCAUGGGCAGGUUGAAGGUUGGGUAACACUAACUGGAGGACCGAACCGACUAAUGUUGAAAAAUUAGCGGAUGACUUGUGGCUGGGGGUGAAAGGCCAAUCAAACCGGGAGAUAGCUGGUUCUCCCCGAAAGCUAUUUAGGUAGCGCCUCGUGAAUUCAUCUCCGGGGGUAGAGCACUGUUUCGGCAAGGGGGUCAUCCCGACUUACCAACCCGAUGCAAACUGCGAAUACCGGAGAAUGUUAUCACGGGAGACACACGGCGGGUGCUAACGUCCGUCGUGAAGAGGGAAACAACCCAGACCGCCAGCUAAGGUCCCAAAGUCAUGGUUAAGUGGGAAACGAUGUGGGAAGGCCCAGACAGCCAGGAUGUUGGCUUAGAAGCAGCCAUCAUUUAAAGAAAGCGUAAUAGCUCACUGGUCGAGUCGGCCUGCGCGGAAGAUGUAACGGGGCUAAACCAUGCACCGAAGCUGCGGCAGCGACNNAUGCUGGAGGUAUCAGAAGUGCGAAUGCUGACAUAAGUAACGAUAAAGCGGGUGAAAAGCCCGCUCGCCGGAAGACCAAGGGUUCCUGUCCAACGUUAAUCGGGGCAGGGUGAGUCGACCCCUAAGGCGAGGCCGAAAGGCGUAGUCGAUGGGAAACAGGUUAAUAUUCCUGUACUUGGUGUUACUGCGAAGGGGGGACGGAGAAGGCUAUGUUGGCCGGGCGACGGUUGUCCCGGUUUAAGCGUGUAGGCUGGUUUUCCAGGCAAAUCCGGAAAACUAAGGCUGAGGCGUGAUGACGAGGCACUACGGUGCUGAAGCAACAAAUGCCCUGCUUCCAGGAAAAGCCUCUAAGCAUCAGGUAACAUCAAAUCGUACCCCAAACCGACACAGGUGGUCAGGUAGAGAAUACCAAGGCGCUUGAGAGAACUCGGGUGAAGGAACUAGGCAAAAUGGUGCCGUAACUUCGGGAGAAGGCACGCUGAUAUGUAGGUGAAGUCCCUCGCGGAUGGAGCUGAAAUCAGUCGAAGAUACCAGCUGGCUGCAACUGUUUAUUAAAAACACAGCACUGUGCAAACACGAAAGUGGACGUAUACGGUGUGACGCCUGCCCGGUGCCGGAAGGUUAAUUGAUGGGGUUAGCGCAAGCGAAGCUCUUGAUCGAAGCCCCGGUAAACGGCGGCCGUAACUAUAACGGUCCUAAGGUAGCGAAAUUCCUUGUCGGGUAAGUUCCGACCUGCACGAAUGGCGUAAUGAUGGCCAGGCUGUCUCCACCCGAGACUCAGUGAAAUUGAACUCGCUGUGAAGAUGCAGUGUACCCGCGGCAAGACGGAAAGACCCCGUGAACCUUUACUAUAGCUUGACACUGAACAUUGAGCCUUGAUGUGUAGGAUAGGUGGGAGGCUUUGAAGUGUGGACGCCAGUCUGCAUGGAGCCGACCUUGAAAUACCACCCUUUAAUGUUUGAUGUUCUAACGUUGACCCGUGAUCCGGGUUGCGGACAGUGUCUGGUGGGUAGUUUGACUGGGGCGGUCUCCUCCUAAAGAGUAACGGAGGAGCACGAAGGUUGGCUAAUCCUGGUCGGACAUCAGGAGGUUAGUGCAAUGGCAUAAGCCAGCUUGACUGCGAGCGUGACGGCGCGAGCAGGUGCGAAAGCAGGUCAUAGUGAUCCGGUGGUUCUGAAUGGAAGGGCCAUCGCUCAACGGAUAAAAGGUACUCCGGGGAUAACAGGCUGAUACCGCCCAAGAGUUCAUAUCGACGGCGGUGUUUGGCACCUCGAUGUCGGCUCAUCACAUCCUGGGGCUGAAGUAGGUCCCAAGGGUAUGGCUGUUCGCCAUUUAAAGUGGUACGCGAGCUGGGUUUAGAACGUCGUGAGACAGUUCGGUCCCUAUCUGCCGUGGGCGCUGGAGAACUGAGGGGGGCUGCUCCUAGUACGAGAGGACCGGAGUGGACGCAUCACUGGUGUUCGGGUUGUCAUGCCAAUGGCACUGCCCGGUAGCUAAAUGCGGAAGAGAUAAGUGCUGAAAGCAUCUAAGCACGAAACUUGCCCCGAGAUGAGUUCUCCCUGACUCCUUGAGAGUCCUGAAGGAACGUUGAAGACGACGACGUUGAUAGGCCGGGUGUGUAAGCGCAGCGAUGCGUUGAGCUAACCGGUACUAAUGAACCGUGAGGCUUAACCUU